GCUCCAGCAGCGUAUAUUUAUAUUGCUGCGUUUAAAAAGCUCGUAGUUGAAGCGUCAGACACGGGAGGGCGGACGGCCGCAAUGGUCGCUCUCGCCGACCGGGCCAGGCGCAGAGGGCGUCAGCCGCUUGCACUUCGCCGUGUGAGCGCUGCGCCGCUGCACGUUCACCUUGAAGAAAUUGAACCGCUCAGAGGAGGCGU
rnacentral:rRNA from 1 species